UACAGAGGGUGCGAGCGUUGUCCGGAAUCACUGGGCGUAAAGGGCGCGUAGGUGGUGGCUUAAGCGUGCGGUGAAAGCUCGGAGCUCAACUCCGAGUCGGCCGUGCGAACUGGGCUCACUGGAGCACAGUAGAGGCAGGUGGAAUUCCGGGUGUAGCGGUGGAAAUGCGCAGAUAUCAGGAGGAACACCGGUGGCGAAGGCGGGACUCUGGGCCGAUACUGACGCUGGAGGA
rnacentral:rRNA from 1 species